UGUCUCCUCCACCUCUCCUUUGGUGGAUUUAGCCCCUGGAUCGCAAGGUCUGGGGGCUUUUUU
rfam:Ramlibacter tataouinensis TTB310, complete genome.